AAACAGAGAAAUUUUAUUUUUAGUAUUAUUAACUACUAGACGCCCAAAACAUGAAGAUUUGUGCAGAAUGGGCCUUCCUUACCCUGGCUGCCGGCACAGCCUUUGCUCCGGCCUGGAGCCACUUUCCUGCCUUUCCAUGCUGCCCAGAGCCC